UAGGAACCGUGAGAUUAAGCCAUCGCGGCAGGUGCUCACGUUAAGCCCACUGACUUUCAUGUCCCUAUCUACUAUCUAGCGAAACCACAGCCAAGGGAACGGGCUUGGAAUAAUUAGCGGGGAAAGAAGACCCUUUUGAGCUUGACUCUAAUCUGGCAGUGUAAGGAGACAUAAGAGGUGUAGAAUAAGUGGGAGAUAUUAGACUUCGGUUUGGUAUCGACAAUGAAAUACCACUACUCUUAUUGUUUCCUUACUUACUUGAUUAAAUGGAACGUGUAUCAUUUCCUAGCCAUUAUACGGAUAUAAUUAUUAUGUCUUAUGGUAUUGGGUUUUGAUGCAAGCUUCUUGAUCAAAGUAUCACGAGUUUGUUAUAUAAUCGCAAACAAAUUCUUUAUGAGAGAAUGCAUUUAUGUAUUAUUUGAUUUAAAAUUUGGGUAAUACUCCCAUUUACUCAAGGUAUGAUCCCAUUCAAGGACAUUGCCCAGGUUAGG
rnacentral:ncRNA from 1 species